GAGUGGGUUGGGCGGUCGCUGGCCGAAAUCGGCUGGAGGAAAGUCCGAGCAGGGCAGGGCACGGUGGUGGCUAACAGCCACCGGGGACGACCCCCGGGAAAGUGCCGCAGAAAAUACACAGCCGAUGGUCCCGAUACGUCGGGAUACAGGCAAUGGUGAAAUGGUGCGGUAAGAGCGCACCGCAGGGUCGGUGACGGCCCUGGCAGGGUAAACCCCACCGCCUGCAAGACCAAGCAGCCGGCUACUCGGCCCGAGUGUGAGCAGUAAUUUUACUGCUCUGCCGGCGGGUAGGUCGCUUGUCGAAAGACAGAGCCAACUGGCAACAGUUGGUCAAGAUAAAUGGCCGCCAUCCUGCCACUUAUGGCCGGAUACAGAACUCGGCUUACAGACCCACUCU
rnacentral:RNase_P_RNA from 1 species